AUUGAACGCUGGCGGCAUGCUUUACACAUGCAAGUCGAACGGCAGCGCGGGCUUCGGCCUGGCGGCGAGUGGCGAACGGGUGAGUAAUACAUCGGAACGUGCCCAGUAGUGGGGGAUAGCUCGGCGAAAGCCGGAUUAAUACCGCAUACGACCUGAGGGUGAAAGCGGGGGAUCUUCGGACCUCGCGCUAUUGGAGCGGCCGAUGGCAGAUUAGCUAGUUGGUGGGGUAAAGGCCUACCAAGGCGACAAUCUGUAGCUGGUCUGAGAGGACGACCAGCCACACUGGGACUGAGACACGGCCCAGACUCCUACGGGAGGCAGCAGUGGGGAAUUUUGGACAAUGGGCGAAAGCCUGAUUCAGCAAUGCCGCGUGUGUGAUGAAGGCCUUCGGGUUGUAAAGCACUUUUGGCGGGAACGAAAAGGACUGUGCCAAUACCACGGUUCGAUGACGGUACCCGCAGAAUAAGCACCGGCUAACUACGUG
rnacentral:rRNA from 1 species